UGGAGGAACAACCCCAGUGGAAGCGGCAGCUCUGGAAACCUGGAUUCAGCCCCCGCAGGAACUCCGGAGCUCUCCAUCUGCAGGGCCUGGAGGCUCCGGGCUGGG
rnacentral:pre_miRNA from 1 species